rnacentral:rRNA from 1 species
UACGGGGGGGGCAAGCGUUGUUCGGAAUUACUGGGCGUAAAGGGCGCGUAGGCGGCCUUCUAAGUCGAACGUGAAAUCCCCGGGCUCAACCCGGGAACUGCGUCCGAUACUGGAAGGCUUGAAUCCGGGAGAGGGAUGCGGAAUUCCAGGUGUAGCGGUGAAAUGCGUAGAUAUCUGGAGGAAUACCGGUGGCGAAGGCGGCAUCCUGGACCAUUACUGACGCUGAGGCGCGAAAGCUAGGGGAGCAAACGGG